UUCUUUAAAUCUAUAGGGAAAAGAUGUCUGAUACUAUCCUCAGCUUUUUGGUCUUUUUAGUUCAUUUUCCAAAUCUAUACAAAAAGACAGUGAGAAUACAGUAGAAAAAUGUGUCCAGGAAGGAAAUAAGUGCAUUGGGGAAUUGAAUGAAAAUGAUAAAAAUCACUCACAUUUCUUUAUUGUAAUAAUUAAAUAUGAAGUGGAGUGGAGAGUGGCAGAUGAAUUCUAAUAGUAAUUGAAUUAGCACUUAGGAGUUAUCUUAUCUGCAUUGCCACAAUUCAAAAGUUCCACAGUUGUUUUCUCUCAGUCCGUAUUAUACUAAUUACGCCUCUCAUGCAUCCUGGUGUUGACCGAAGUAGUUAGUACGCAUGGAGAGGCGCCCAGCUCUCCUAAAGAGGUCUGGUCAGUACUGACUCCACAUCCUCCUUGAAAAUGCCAUCUGCUUCUUGCGUACACCGCCAUGGGGGACCCUUCCCUCCCGCUUUUGGAAAAAAGAACAUAUGUUUCUAUUUGAUAUGAUAGAUGGUCAGGGAGCAGGGGCAGGCCCGGAAGUGCAUCAGCAUCCCCUUCCGGGACGCGCUCGGCUGCCACCGUCUAACAAGUUUGUCUUGGUUUCUGUGUUUGAGAAAAUCCUGAACUUCGGUUCUUGUCAACUCCAUCUCCAAAAGUAUCUGAUUCUCUGAAAACAAUUCCAGACUCCAUUCCCAAUUUUUUUUCUCUCUAUGUGCAAAAACGAAGGCUUUGUGCACUCUGUUGCUAUGGAAACAGGAGAGAGAGAAACAGUUUAUGUAUUUCAAAAGCUGUCAGCCUAUAUGCUGUGGAUUUUGAUAACUAAACCUACAUGUGAACCAUCUUUUCUCUACUCCCAACGCCCAACACUAUAACGUUUAUUUUAUUUUAUACAUGUGUGUAUAUGUUGCUUGAGAAAAUUAAAGAUCUAUUUAUUUAUC